GGGGCUGACCCGGUUUCGACGUGGGUUGCAAAGCAGUGCAGGGCAUACCGAGGAUUCAGGUUCCCUCGUAAAUCCAUCUGAACAAGUAUAGUCGCAAACGACGAAACUUACGCUCUGGCUGCUUAAUCCAGCCGGACGCUGCACCGAAGAGCCUCUCGGUCGGGCCGGGUAACCGGCAGCAGCGUCAUUUAGAGAGGAUCGUGUCUUACCGGGUUGCUUGGUAAGGCAUUAAAUCCAAGGCAACUCGCUAGUCAUCUGCUUGCUCGUUGGUGGGUGCCUGGUUAAACAUAAACAACACAGCUAAGUAUGUAGAACUGUCUGUGGAGGGCUUGCGGACGGGGGUUCAAUUCCCCCCAGCUCCACCA
rnacentral:tmRNA from 1 species